rnacentral:rRNA from 1 species
AUUGAACGCUGGCGGCAGGCCUAACACAUGCAAGUCGAACGAGUGGCGGACGGUUGAGUAAUGCCUGGGAAACUGCCAGAUGGAGGGGGAUAACUACGGGAAACCGUAGCUAAUACCGCCUACCAUCGGAUGUGCCCAGGUGGGAUUAGCUAGUGGGUGAGGUAACGGCUCACCUAGUCGACGAUCCCUCGCUGGUCUGAGAGGAUGACCAGCCACACUGGAACUGAGACACGGUCCAGACUCCUACGGGAGGCAGCAGUGGGGAAUAUUGCGCAAUGGGCGCAAGCCUGAUGCAGCCAUGCCGCGUGAAUGAAGAAGGCCUGCGGGUUGUAAAGUUCUUUCGGUGAGGAGGCGUUACUCACAGAAGAAGCACCGGCUAACUCCGUGCCAGCAGCCGCGGUAAUUC